AUUGAACGCUGGCGGAAUGCUUUACACAUGCAAGUCGAACGGCAGCACGGACUUUGGUCUGGUGGCGAGUGGCGAACGGGUGAGUAAUGUAUCGGAACGUGCCCAGUCGGGGGGGAUAACGUAGUGAAAAUUACGCUAAUACCGCAUACGAUCUAUGAAUGAAAGCGGGGGAUCGCAAGACCUCGCGCGAUUGGAGCGGCCGAUAUCAGAUUAGGUAGUUGGUGGGGUAAAGGCCCACCAAGCCAACGAUCUGUAGCUGGUCUGAGAGGACGACCAGCCACACUGGAACUGAGACACGGUCCAGACUCCUACGGGAGGCAGCAGUGGGGAAUUUUGGACAAUGGGCGAAAGCCUGAUCCAGCCAUUCCGCGUGCAGGAUGUAGGCCCUCGGGUUGUAAACUGCUUUUGUACAGAACGAAAAGGUCUCUACUAAUACUAGGAGCUCAUGACGGUACUGUAAGAAUAAGCACCGGCUAACUACGUGCCAGCCGCCGCCGUAA
rnacentral:rRNA from 1 species